GGCUGCUCCUUAGGGAUCUCUGCCUCCUCACCAGCAGGCUGGGAGCCGGCCCUUCUCGCUGUUUCUGGCGUCUGCCUCCAGCAAGUCCUCCCGUUUCUCUACCUCUUCCCUCAUUUCCCGUCUGCCCAGCUUUGUGUGAAACCAGACGACAAAGGGUGUUCGGAUUAAGAGCCAGAUGUUAGAGAAAUUUCUGGAAUGUUCCAGGUACACCUAUGUCCUCCAACACGAAAGUUAAAGCAUGUCCUUGAGACUUCUCAGACACCACUGCCACUCUCUUAGUUUAACUGGACGUGCGUAUUUUAUCCAGCUGGUGGCUACCAUAUUGGACAGCACAGAUGUGGAACAUUGCCAUCGUUGCGGAAAUUUCUACUGGACUGCUUUAGAAACUCAAUCAGCAGCAGGUAGCUGAUGACCCGUCUGUGACUUCUGUUCUUCUGCCCAGUGGCACGUGAUUGGCAGGCAGAGCCAAACAGCCAAGGUACCCCUAACUACCAUAAUAAAGUUCUUGGCCUUGGAACCAGAUAAUACUAAUUACGCCAAUUCUUUUUCAUCUCGAAACUUGAAUUUAAUUUCCUCACUUAGGCUUCUGUUCCCCCAUUUAUUUUCUUUCCUAUCUCCCCUACAUUGCUGAACACCCCUUGUAAAAAACCU